UGUUGGGUGAGACUCCUCAGUGAGGAACAUCAAACAGUGGGUUGUAAAUACUUGGGGCCUGCUAGACCAAGCUGAAACCAGUUUGGCCAGUUUUCAGUCUUAAUUCACACUUUCCUCAGACAGCCUGGAGCCUCGCCUCAGUGGGGGAGAAUCUCGGAUGUCCGUCAGGGACCCCCACUGGGAUCCUGAAACGCCCACUGAGGUCGACUCCCAGCCCACUAAGGUCGGAAUCCUGACAUUCUCAUUGGCUGAGUGCCAACUGAACCCUAUGACCACUUCCGGGGGAAGCAGGAAGUCCUCAGGUGGUAUAAGAGUGCUGAGGUCCCAGAACUUUCAGGUUUUCACUCUCUUUUUCACCCCAGCACAGAUGUCCCCACCAGGCCCUUACAGGUCUGACCAGAGGUUCCCGAUGCUUAAGGAGGCAACUAACUCUUAACUCUUCCCUUUCACUCCACUGCUCAAGUUGUAUUCGACCUCCAGAGGCCGAACUACACGACUCAGCAAGCUAAUGGAGGCGAUAAGACGUUUAUUUGAAUUCAUUUCAUUAUUUUUCUUUUAUCUCAGUCGACGUUUUUAUUUUCAAAAGGACUUUUGCUGUUUUAACUUGAAAAGACCAAACAGGAAAUUGCACGCGGAACAAUCUCAGACUGUUUCACUUUCCCCACGGACUUUACUUUCUUUUCCCAACGAUCUACAAACGGCUUCCACAGCCGUCCCCUGCAGAAGCGCGAGAUUCAUUCCGCUGAGGAGCACAAGCUCCACAUCCCUGAAGAAGAAGGACGACGUUCAUCCCGUCGUGGCAGCACGAGAAAAUCCGCUGCUUGUCCGGUCCAGCGGCCGAGCACCGCUUGAGAGACCACGUGAUUCACUGGCCCGACGCGCACGCACACCGCGAGGGUGGUACAAUGAAGAACUGCAGCACCUGAUGUCCUCAGCAGCAACAUGGUGGAGAUCUGCAGCGUCAUGCUGGUCAACACGUGGACGACUGAAUCGUCAUCUACACAACACUUCUAAAUUCCUCCCUUAACUAAAUAUGACCUGCAGCUGUUUAGUGGUGGUGGUCAUUGCAAAGUGUCAUGUAUAAGAGUUAAUGUCUAUCUUCAUUAUGGUUGGUUAAAAAAAUAAACAUUUAUUAGAACAAUG